GUGCUCACUCUGGCAGCACAUAUACUAAAAUUGGAAUGAUACAGAGAUCAGCCUGGGCCUUACACCAGAAUGACAGGCAAAUUGGUAAAGCACUCCAUAUUUUU
ensembl:snRNA U6 U6 spliceosomal RNA